UACAGAGGUCUCAAGCGUUUGUUCGGAUUCAUUGGGCGUAAAGGGUGCGUAGGUGGCGCGCUAAGUCAGGUGUGAAAUUUCGGAGCUUAACUCCGAAACUGCAUUUGAUACUGGCGUGCUUGAGGACUGGAGAGGAGACUGGAAUUUACGGUGUAGCAGUGAAAUGCGUAGAGAUCGUAAGGAAGACCAGUGGCGAAGGCGGGUCUCUGGACAGUUCCUGACAGCUGAGGCACGGAAGGCCCAGGGGAGCAAAACGGG
rnacentral:rRNA from 1 species